CAGCGCCGCGGCUGCCGGGCCUGACCUCGCUCCCGCCUCGCAGACUCUCCCCCGGCUGGGUGGCCGCCGGCCCGCCCGCGAUCCCUAUGGGAACGGGCCUCCGCCCCGGGCUGGCCUGUGCGGGACCGCCGCGCCCCGGCUUCCCUCCCGGAGUGGCCACGAUCUUGGCCACGGCGGAGGGCCCGCGUGGACGGCCCUUGCCGCGCUGGAGGAGCUGUUCUGAACGUGGGCAGGGGUCCCUGCUAGUUCCUCAGCCGGGGAGAGAAGGCCUUCAGAUUGCAAACUCCAGCAGGUUGUGGAGAAAGCAGCUCUGGCUGGCAAAGUCGGCUGGGAAGACGCCUGCGCCAGGAGGCCCCCCGCCCCCCCCGCCUGUACCUCGCUGCGGUGUAACUGAUUACUCGCCGGUAUUCUCUACCAGACUGUAAACGCCUUGAAGGCAGUUUCUACCUCAAUGCGGUAGCCGCCAGAAAGGAAUGAAUGGAAAAAAGGGAGAGAGGAAAAGAGGAAGAGGGCGGUCUGAGCACAAUGGUGGAAAGUUAAUGGACCUGGGGAAAUCGUGAAAUAAGGUGCCAUGUUGUGAGAUGCCCUAUGGCAAGGAAUUGAGGAAGCCAACAGCCAAGAAGACUCAAUCCAGUAUUCUGUGAAGAAUUGAGUCCUGCCAACAACCUUGUGUGUGAGCUUGGAAGUGGAUCUCCCUAUCACCAUCUCUGUUUCCGUCCUUCCCCUUCAACAGCAACAUAUUUAUUUUUCUACGGUAUCAUCUGACCUGAUGUUCCCAGUAAGAGAAUGAACUCUGGAGCCAGACUGCCUGGGAUCAAAUCCAGCUCUGCUAUGAACCAUCUGUGAGAUACUAAAACUUUCUCUUUGAGAAAGGAGACAAGACGUGGAGUAGAAGGACUUGAGCUCACCUCCUUUCACGAAAACACCAGAAUCACAACUAACAGGUGAACGGUUUGGCAAAAAAAGCCUGGAACCUACCAAAAGAAGAUAUUCUACAUCCAAAGACAAAGAAACCACAAUAAGAUGCUCCAAAUGAACCCUUUUUAUCUUCUGGUUUGUUGUGCUGGGGCUAGAAGUCUGCACGCUGUAUUUCCCAGCAUCCAUUCCAGUUCAUUUGGACCGACUGGAGACACUGGGAGAAUGGAGAGGAGGAGGAGAAAAAACUUCCUUCUUGUUUCUUGCUAUUCCUUAACUAUGGAAGUUCUCCCUAGAUCCAGCUGCUUUUAGCCCUUCCAGAACCAGCCUUAUUACAUACCUUCAGAGGAGCCAGCAGCUCCUCCUCAGGGUCUGAGCCCAGCUUCAUGGGACCCUGCCCCUGAUGAGCUGGUGGCAACUGUACAGAGGCAUCUCCCCAAGGUCAGAGCUUCGGUAUUGUGGAUCUUCUCUGAGCCCCCAGGUUCUAAUAAUCCCCAAAGUUACCCUUUUAUUUCUCUAUCCCUAUUGGUGGUAGCUGCUUCUUGCAGUUGUUCUGAGUUUUCUGAGUGUCCUAAUUUGCUCUUUCUGUCCUCUGUGUAAUAUUUCCCUAUGUUCAUUGUUUUAAUUCUCCCCAAGUAAAAUGCCUACUCUGCUUUCCUGUUUUGUUGCCUAGACCCUGACUGAUCCUAGAUUCGGAGCCUAGAUACCUAGGCUCGAUGUUUUUAAAUAAUUUGCUGCUUAGACCCUGAGCCUAGAUAUCCAGGUUCAAUAUUCUAAAAUAAUUUACUCGCACUACUUUCCUCACUUUCAGAAACCUGGAAGGUUUUUGUAAUGUAUCUGCAUUUUGCAAGGGCUGGACUCUUAAGAGUCAAAGAAAAGUUUUCUUAGAGUUAUACUCAUGAAUAAAUUACUUCAUUACUGACU
ensembl:lncRNA